UUUUGAUCUACGGAGAAAAUA
ensembl:piRNA 21ur-6171 ncRNA